rnacentral:rRNA from 1 species
AUGAUACGCGAAGAACCUUACCAGGUCUUGACAUCCCCCGCCGAUGCUUUAGAGAUAAAGCGGAGGUAUUCGGGGAGACAGGUGGUGCAUGGUUGUCGUCAGCUCGUGUCGUGAGAUGUGGGUUAAGUCCCGCAACGAGCGCAACCCUAUUGCUAGUUACCAUCAUUAAGUUUGGGGACUCUAGCGAGACUGCCAGUGAUAAACUGGAGGAAGGUGGGGAUGACGUCAAAUCAUCAUGCCCCUUAUGACCUGGGCUACAAACGUGAUACAAUGGCUGGAACAAAGGGAUGCGAAGCAGUGAUGUGGAGCGAAACCCAUAAAAACAGUCUCAGUUCGGAUUGAAGUCUGCAACUCGACUUCAUGAAGUCGGAAUCGCUAGUAAUCGCGGAUCAGAACGCCGCGGUGAAUACGUUCUCGGGGUUU